UGAAAUUUGGCCUAACUCCAAGCAGUUAGUGUCAGAAUUGCAAUGCAGUUGACCACAAGAGAAAUUUGCUUGAGAUUUGGAAGUCACAGGGAAGUAGCAGCCAUAAUUUUUACCCUCUGGAAGAUUAAUGCAGGAUGCCAGGCACUGUGGAACCUCAUGCACAUUGUUGCUGAUCCCCUGGCUCACCUUGUUGGCUCACCUUGUUGGCAUGUGGCAGCACCCAACCAGCAGCUCCUCCAGCUGCUGACACAUCUCCUCAAACUUCUCUGUGUUCUGGGCCAAAGAUAUGUGCAGCCCUAUAGCUAGAGGUGCCAGCUACUCCUGCAGGCCUCAGGCCAUCCAAGUCACAUAAGGUGGAGUAAUGAAAGACAGAUGUAAGCUCCAUCUUUUUCUAGAAGUUUGUGGUUGGUUCCUGCUUUUGUUCUUGUUCACCUUUCCUUCCCAACUGCUAGUCUGGCUGACCCACGGUGACUUCAGGCCCAGCACCACAUGCAGGCCAGCAGAUUACUCCACCAGCAAUCCCAGUGGCAUAAUGUUUGAAUCCCUAGAAUCAGACUCUUAUUCUAGAUCACUCUUUGUUCUGCUUCUCUGAUUUUGACCUUGACUGAUACAACUGUUU
rnacentral:lncRNA from 10 species